AGCUAAUUAACCCCAACUCCUGAAAGAAAAUUUGUUUUUUUCCCCUUAAUUUUGCGGCAAAAAAAUCAUCCAUAUGUAUUUUCCUGCAAGAAUAGAAAUUUGCCAGAAAAUGUGGAAGUAACAAAGUUUUUAGAGCCUUUAUGGGCUGGUACUUUCCUCUAUAUGGUUAAUGCAUUGAGAUAUACUGUCGGUGUCCAGAUUUUUUU
rnacentral:misc_RNA from 1 species